rnacentral:rRNA from 1 species
GGAUUGCCUCAGUAACGGCGAGUGAAGCGGCAAAAGCUCAAAUUUGAAAUCUAGCACUUUCAGUGUUCGAGUUGUAAUUUGAAGAAGGUAACUUUGGUUUUGGCUCUUGUCUAUGUUCCUUGGAACAGGACGUCACAGAGGGUGAGAAUCCCGUGCGAUGAGAUGCCCAAUUCCAUGUAAAGUGCUUUCGAAGAGUCGAGUUGUUUGGGAAUGCAGCUCUAAGUGGGUGGUAAAUUCCAUCUAAAGCUAAAUAUUGGCGAGAGACCGAUAGCGAACAAGUACAGUGAUGGAAAGAUGAAAAGAACUUUGAAAAGAGAGUGAAAAAGUACGUGAAAUUGUUGAAAGGGAAGGGCUUGAGAUCAGACUUGGUAUUUUGCGUUCCCUUCCUUUUUGGUUGGGUUCCUCGCAGUUUACUGGGCCAGCAUCGGUUUGGAUGGUAGGAUAAUGACAUUGGAAUGUAGCUUUACUUCGGUGAAGUGUUAUAGACUUUGUUGAUACUGCCUAUCUAGACCGAGGACUGCGUCUUUGACUAGGAUGCUGGCGUAAUGAUCUUAAGCCGCCCGUCUUGAAACACGGACCUCCUGUGUGAAGUG